AUGAUGCGAGGUUAAGUUGAAGAGACGGAGCCGUAGGGAAACCGAGUCUGAAUAGGGCGCCUUAGUAUCAUGACGUAGACCCGAAACCAUGUGACCUACCCAUGAGCAGGUUGAAGGUGCGGUAAGACGCACUGGAGGACCGAACCAGGGCACGUUGAAAAGUGCUUGGAUGACUUGUGGGUAGCGGAGAAAUUCCAAACGAACUUGGAGAUAGCUGGUUCUCUCCGAAAUAGCUUUAGGGCUAGCGUCGACAUUAGAGAUUCUUGGAGGUAGAGCACUGUUUGGGUGAGGGGUCCAUCCCGGAUUACCAAUCUCAGAUAAACUCCGAAUGCCAAUGAAUUAUGGUCGGCAGUCAGACUGCGAGUGCUAAGAUCCGUAGUCGAAAGGGAAACAGCCCAGACCACCAGCUAAGGUCCCAAAAUAAUUGUUAAGUGGAAAAGGAUGUGGGGUUGCACAGACAACUAGGAUGUUAGCUUAGAAGCAGCUAUUCAUUCAAAGAGUGCGUAAUAGCUCACUAGUCGAGUGACCCUGCGCCGAAAAUGUACCGGGGCUAAAACAAUUUACCGAAGCUGUGGAUACCUUUAUAGGUAUGGUAGGAGAGCGUUCUAUGUGUGAUGAAGGUAUACCGUGAGGAGUGCUGGAA
rnacentral:rRNA from 1 species